CGGCGAACGGGUGAGUAACACAUCGGAACGUACCCAGACGUGGGGGAUAGCCCGGCGAAAGCCGGAUUAAUACCGCAUACGUCCUGAGGGAGAAAGCAGGGGAUCGCAAGACCUUGCGCGUUUGGAGCGGCCGAUGUCUGAUUAGCUAGUUGGUGGGGUAAAGGCCCACCAAGGCGACGAUCAGUAGCGGGUCUGAGAGGAUGAUCCGCCACACUGGAACUGAGACACGGUCCAGACUCCUACGGGAGGCAGCAGUGGGGAAUUUUGGACAAUGGGGGCAACCCUGAUCCAGCCAUUCCGCGUGAGUGAAGAAGGCCUUCGGGUUGUAAAGCUCUUUCGGCAGGAACGAAACGGUUACGGCCAAUACCCGUGACUAAUGACGGUACCUGAAGAAGAAGCACCGGCUAACUACGUGCCAGCAGCCGCGGUAAUACGUAGGGUGCGAGCGUUAAUCGGAAUUACUGGGCGUAAAGCGUGCGCAGGCGGCUUUUUAAGCCAGAUGUGAAAUCCCCGGGCUUAACCUGGGAACUGCAUUUGGAACUGGAAGGCUAGAGUGCGGCAGAGGGGUGUAGAAUUCCACGUGUAGCAGUGAAAUGCGUAGAGAUGUGGAGGAAUACCGAUGGCGAAGGCAGCCCCCUGGGUCGACACUGACGCUCAUGCACGAAAGCGUGGGGAGCAAACAGGAUUAGAUACCCUGGUAGUCCACGCCCUAAACGAUGUCUACUAGUUGUUGGAGGAGUGAAAUCCUUUAGUAACGAAGCUAACGCGUGAAGUAGACCGCCUGGGGAGUACGGUCGCAAGAUUAAAACUCAAAGGAAUUGACGGGGACCCGCACAAGCGGUGGAUGAUGUGGAUUAAUUCGAUGCAACGCGAAGAACCUUACCUACCCUUGACA
rnacentral:rRNA from 1 species